GAUGAACGCUGGCGGUAUGCUUAACACAUGCAAGUCGAACGGACUCUUCGGAGUUAGUGGCGGACGGGUGAGUAACGCGUGAGAAUCUGGCUUUGGGUUCGGGACAACCACUGGAAACGGUGGCUAAUACCGGAUGUGCCGAGAGGUAAAAGAGAAAUUUCCUGCAGAUGAGCUCGCGUCUGAUUAGCUAGUUGGUGAGGUAAAGGCUCACCAAGGCAGCGAUCAGUAGCUGGUCUGAGAGGAUGACCAGCCACACUGGGACUGAGACACGGCCCAGACUCCUACGGGGGGCAGGAGUGGGGAAUUUUCCGAAAGGGGCGAAAGCCUGACGGAGCAAUACCGCGUGAGGGAAGAAGGCUCUUGGGGUGUAAACCUCUUUUCUUAGGGAAGAACAAAAUGACGGUACCUAAGGAAGCAGCAUCGGCUAACUCCGUG
rnacentral:rRNA from 1 species